AAAGCACAAGAGUAGAGAGGGAGGCCUGUGUCUUCCUUUCCUGAAACAGCUCAGGAUACACGAAUCCUGGUGCUUAGAAAUGACAAAACUGGCCCCUCUGCAAAGAAGUAACCCAGAGGUUGUGAAUGUCAUAGAUUAUUCUGUAUCCAUGUCCUAGGAAUUCUGAAGAAUGAUAAGCAUCUCUAUAUAAGACAGAAGCAGAAGAAACCAGUUGGCAAACAUUCUAACCUGGGCUAUUCUUUCAUUUGCAGGGUUUUUGCAGUGCCAGGUGUGGAUUGAGAUUCAGCCUUUGUAAGACUUACUCACUGAAAACAGGAAUUUGCUUGGUUCCAAGAACAAAGUGUGCUUUGUACACUUGCUGGUGCCAUUUGUGGCUGAGAAGAACUUUCUCGGAUUGCUUUGGAAUGAUGAAGAGUGUGUCUCUCAUCCAAGAACUGAAAUGAUACCUUCAGGUGAGUCCAGAGUCCAAAUCCUCAAAGGAGGGAUUUAGGAAAGCAUUUGAGAGGAUCAGGUUUAAACCAAACAAUCCCUUAAGAAGAAAUUCCAUUCAAGUUCUUUCUUUAAAACAGGAAAUUAAACAGAGUCAUUAUAAGGCAAACUCAAGAGAGUGGUAGCACCAUCCCUCCCAACUGUUAGUUGCAUGAAUUUCAUUUUGGGUCAUCUGUGAAUCGAAACUAUUUAAAUUUGACCCUAUUAACCACAGCUCUUUUAAAGUACAACCAUCAGAAUUCUAGGCAAAAUGCAUCCUUUUAGAAGCAUAUAAUAUAUCUGAAGUACAACUCUUUGCAUAAUUAUCAAGAUUUAAGUCUCCUGCAGUAUUAUUUUAAGUAUUUUAUUAAGUUCAUGGGCCUAUUCCC
rnacentral:lncRNA from 10 species